ACCAAUCAGCGCGCAAAAGGUGAGGAGUGGCGGGGGAAGCAGCCAAUCGGGGCACCGGCCCGCCCCAACCGCGCCACUGGGUCGUUUCACCCUUACAUUGCCAGUCCACAGCCACCGGAGCCACAGCAACCUCAGCAGCCUGACCCAGUGCUGGUUGUUCUGAUGUUCCUCAGUGGCCCCACUCUUGGGUAUGUGGGCAUCUACCUGACAGACUUUCACAGCCAGCUUCUACAGCCGGGCAGCAAUAUCUUGCCAUAAUUCGGCAGCCCAGAUGGGUUUGCCUCUGCGCUGCCAGUUGCUCUGCUUCCAUUGCUGUAACCACCCCCACAGGGCAUUGGCCACCAUCCACGAGUCAGUAGAUAGAACACCAGCCACUUGUCUCACUCAGCAAUGUCUAAAGCCAGCUGGAUGGAUUUCACUUCCACAAACUGACUCAAUUCACCUUCUCCUUCUGCAGCUUCUGUGACUCGCCGUGUAAGAGUCCAUACAGCAGCCUUCCUCCUCCGGUGCUUUCCCACGAUGCGACAGGACCCGUCAGUGAACAGGGCGUAGGGCUUCUCAUUUUCUGGCAGCAGGGAGACAUGAAGGCUGUCCAACUCUGGUGCUGGCCUGUCCUGACGACUGGGUUGGGUAUCGCAAAGUCUGCUACUACCUCUCGAAUGAGGAGGGGAGCUGGGAGUGGAGCCAGGAGCGGUGCUCCUCACACGGGGCCUCGCUGGCUGUGCUCCAGAGGGAGUGGGAAAUGGAGUUUCUCUUGCGCCUCAAGGGCAACACUGAUGUCUGGCUUGGGCUGCGGAGACAAGGCGAGCGCCUGGAGUGGGUGGAUGGCAGCAGCUUCAACCAGAGGAUCCCGGUGCAGGGCCAAGAACCGUGUUUGUUCCUGAAGGACCAUGAUCUCUGGAGUUCAAGCUGCUCAAAGCAACGGCCUUAUGUGUGCAGCAAGGCCUCAGUUCUGAUGGGAACCACGUGAGGGAGCUGGUGGAGAAAGGUCCUUCCCGGUGCUGGGGACUGUUGGGUUUACGUGGCAAGGGUUUGGUAGUGGGGGGCUUCUCUGAGGAGAUGCCAGGAGCUGCCCCCGUGUUGGAUGGAGUCACUUCCAGCUGGCUCCAGGACGCACUCACUGCUGGCCAAGGCUGAGCCCAUCAUUGACGAUGGCAGUGCCUCUGGGACAAGAUAUUUAAGAAGGGGAAAAGCCCUGCUCCUCAGAGCACAUUCCUUCCAGCCCUUCACCAGCUGGCUUGCCCUCCUCUGGACAUGUUCAAGGACCUUCACAUCCUUCUCAAAUGGUGGGGCCCAGCUCUGCCCAUGCUGCUGACUCCCGUUGAGCCUGCUGCCGACCAGCACCCUGUAAACUCAACCACUCCAUGAAUGCUGUGGCCAAGGCAGCCACCAGCCAUCCUGUUAAUGGAGAAGGAUUUGUGAGAAACAAAGAACAAGUCUAGGAGAGCAUCUCUUCCACUUGAGUCACUGAGUACUGGUGAAAAGAAGGCAUCUUCCAAAAAUUCAGGAAUCUCCUAGACCUGCUUGUCACAGCAGCGUGGCAUUCCUGGCUAUUAUCUGGGUUGUUGAAGUCUCCCAUGAGGACAAGGGUGACCGAUCCAGAGAAUUCUCCUAUGGAAUAACUCAUUGGCAGUGUCAUCCUGGCUGGGCUAUGGGUGGUGGACACCCACUGUGCCAUCUGCUUUGUUUUCCAUCUUCUGUUCCUCACCCAGAGGCUCUCGACCACGUCAUCCCGAACUGCUGAGGCUGUGUGGCAAAACCUCUCCCUUCCUUACAGUGCAACUCCUCCACCUCGCCUGCUCUGCCUAUCACUCCUGAGGAGCUGGUGGCCCUCCAUCCCAGCGCUCCAGCCGUGUCUCCUGCUCUGAGACCAUGCGAAGGGGCACUGAGAGAGCGGUCUCUUUCUCUGGGGUGUCCUGGUUUCAGCAGGGGUGUAGAGUUAAUGUUCACAAGGAGCUGGGAGGGGACGCAGCCAGGACAGCUGACCCCAACUGACUAAAGGGGUAUUCCAUCCCAUAUGAUGUCAUGUUCCAUAUAUAACUGGUGGGUGGCCCAGGAGCGGGGGCAGCUCGGGGUCUUGCAGAGCAUUGACUUUGGGUGGUGAUGCUGUGCAUAACUUGGUGGUUGUUGUUGUUGUUUGUGUUCUCCUAUAAAAUUCUCUUUAUCUCAACCCACAAAUUUUUUCCACAAGCCUUUUUGGUGGCCAACAUGGGGCUCAAAUGUUUGAGAUAAGAACAGAUAUGACUAGAGCAUGUUAAAACAAGUUACUCGUAAACAUAUGUUUACAUUACUUUCGAUCCUUUUGAUCCUUACAUACUUUUCUGAUCCCCAGACCGAAAAGCUCUGAGCAAGACCCCCGGGAAGGUAAAGGCACUCUUUUCUCUAAGGGACAUUAAAGGUUCCGUGCCCAUAAGGCGCAGCGAAAGCCUCACAGAGUUGGGCUAUAAAGGAAGGAUUCGAUCCUAAAGGAUGAAAGUCUGUAGGACACCCGGGUUUGGAAGAGGACCCAGUGCAAACGGAACCGGAAAUUCUGCAGGAAAUAAAGGACGCAGUAAUCCCAUUGGUAUGGGCCAGUGGAACUCCGGGAAGGUCGUGAGCCGUGGAACCAGUAAAGAUUUGGUUAAAGCCGGGAGCUAAACCGGUUUCACCUGACUCUGGGAGUCCUCGCCCAGCGUUUGGGACCCUGGAAGAGACUGGUGGGAUACUUUUCCAAACAGCUGGAUGACGUGAGUAAAGGCUGGCCGUCCUGCCUCCGGGCUGUAGCGGCGACGGUAUUGCGGCUUCAAGUGGCCCGGAGGUUCGCUAUGGGGUAACGGAUGACCGUGUACGUGCCCCGUAUGCUGCAGCAGUACUGGAGCAAAAGGAAAUCACUGGUUAUCACCGAGCAGAACGAUGAAAUAUCAAGCCAUCUUACUGGAGAUGGAUGAUGUGAACCUAAAGGUAACAUCUAUGCUUAAUCUUGCAUUAUUUCUAUCCACCUUUUUGGAAGAUAGUGGGGAAAUAGAGCGUGACUGCCCCGUCACAAUGGUUACCGAUAUUUAUUAGUGCUAGUGGACACCUUUUCUGGAUGGCCGGAGGCUUUUCCCUGUUGCACCAACAAGGCUAGAGAAGUCGUAAAGGUAUUAAUGAAAGAAAUAAUUCCCAGAUUUGGAGUACCAAUAGGAAUGUCCUCUGAUAGGGGUCCCCGCUUUGUGGCCGAAAUCCUUCAAAAUUUGGCUCGUGUAUUAGGGAUACAGUGGGACCUGCACACUCCAUGGAGGCCACAAUCUAGUGGAAAGGUAGAAAGAAUGAAUCAGAGUUUGAAGAGAGAGAUAAGCAGGAUCUGUCAAGAAACUCAACUCCAAUGGCCCCAGGCCCUUCCACUAGCUUUGCUGAGAAUCAGAAUUAGACCCUCUUCCAAAGAGCAACUUAGUCCAUACGAGAUACUGUACGGAAAACCUUAUCAAGUGAUAAACUAUCCUGGAGAUUGGCAGGUCAAAGGAAAUCAGGAUUUAAAAGACUGUGUGAUGAGAAUGGGAAAGAUUCCUUCCUCGUUACAUAGAUCCAUGGUUCUUACUUGACCUCUGGCUUUGGAUACACACGUUCAUCCUUAGCAGCCUGGAGACUGGGUCUAUAUCAAGGUCUGGAAGGAGGAACCCCUUUCAGCAAAGAUGGAAAGGACCUUAUCAAGUGAUAUGAACUACUUUUACUGCUGGUAAGGUUGCAGGGAAGGAGUCCUGGAUCCAUUAUACUUGAGUAAAACCAGCAUCAGAGCCAAAAGAACCUCAGUAGAAGGUCACCUCAUCAGAUAAAGAUCCUCUCUGAAUAAAAAAUUCAAAAAUCAACCUGAAAAUUAGCCAGUAAGCUGUAAGUGUUUUGGUUGGAAUAGCCGUGAUGUUAACUAACUGUUGAACUAACCAGGGCACAAAUCACGACAAUCUUUAUGAGGAGACGAAAAUCCGAUUGACUAAAGAGCUUAACGUGACAAAUUGUUGGAUAUGCUCGCAGACAAUGUUGGGAGGAACAGCGAUCCCUUUUAGCCCGAUCCCUUUACAAUGGCCAGAAUAUUGUAUUUUGCUAAAUUGGUCUAACCAAACAAAGCUAGAACAAGAGACUGUUAUUUUAGCAGCAGAGUUAGCAAUCAAUUGUACAAUAGAGAAAAACCAUAGUGCCAUCCUGUCUGGGUUACCUAAGCAAACCUUUGAGCCUAAGGUGAAUUAGACAGACAGACAGACCUCAUGCCAUCAAAUUAGGGCGUACAAGAGAUGGAUUCCUUUGUUACAAAGCAGCCAAAGUUGAUGCAAUUGGUGGUGGUUACUCUGGUGGCUUUAAUGCAGGUAACAGUAAAUGUAAAUUUUAUCUUACAGACACUCAAGCUGUUACUGUGCCACUUAGCAUUUGAAACAGUACAACAGGAGGAAAUCUUUCUUUUUGACACUCUCCUAUUACUUGUGAAAUGUGGAAAAAUGGAACUAAAACUUGAGUAGGAGGAUUUAAUGGUACAUAUUGGAUUUGUGGAAAAAGGCGUAGCGAUGGAUACCUGGGGGAUGGUACGUAUCCUGUUAUUUAGGUUUGUUAAUGCCCCCAUUUCAAGUACUACAACAACUUCCAUCAGGGUGACCAUGUUGGAAAAGAGAGAGAAAAGUGGAAAAUAGACUUGUUGUAACAGAAGGGGAAAAAUUUUUCUAUAUGCUAUGCCCCAUGUGUGCAGCCGCGACCUAUGGAACUAAGAGAAAUCAACUUAGCAAUUUGUUGAAGGAAGUAGCUAACGAAACCGUUAAGGUAUUGAACAGUACGUCUUAUGAAAUGGCCUAAAAUAGAAUGGUGAGUCUACAAAAUCAUAUGGCCCUAGAUUAUCUGUUAGCUAGUCAAGGAGGAAUUUGUGCUCUUAUGGGACAAGAAUGUUGUACAUACAUAGAUGAUGGAUUGAAGACCCAACAGAAAGGAAUCAAUUUGAUUGAGAGGGCAGUGGAAGAGUGGGAGAAAGAAGAAAAAAAAAAAUUGUUUUCAGAAUCGUAGUGGAAUUGGUUAACCUCAUGGCUACCAAACCUAACCUGGCUGAAGGAAUUGUUUGUAGUAAUCACAGCUAUAGUUGUUAUAUGUAUGUUACGUUGUAUCACAAUUCAAUAUUUACCCUUAAUCACAUCCUGUUGUACCCAAUUGUGUAUACCUGAGAAUCAAAAAUGAUAUUAUCAAAAUUAUGCAAUCUAGGGGAGACUCCCAAAGAGUUCUUACUUUGGAAGUCUCAAACGGGGGGAAAUGUUGAGAAAUUCUUUUGCCAAACAAUGAUUAGUUUUGAAUUUAAGAAGGCGUAUGAGUAAUUAAUACUCAUAUAUCCUAACCUUGAGAACAGAAACCUCCUGGCAGGAUUGCCCAGACAGGGUUGAUCAGGAAGAACAGCUUGGCCGGACAACAGAGUUGGGAAACAUCCAAGGAGAAGAAACUCUCCUCAAAGACUUGUGACCAUAAAAGGGAAAAAGGAGUGGGGGGCUAACUCCCCAAACGACCACCCGAGACCCCUGCGCAUGCGUAGUGUAGUUUUGCAACGCCAGCGUUAUGUAAAUGUAGUAGAUAGGCGGAGAGGUGGAGAUUUCUCGGAAAAUGUAUGACUACUCCUGUCUUAAGGUAUAUAAAGGAUGAACUUUUAUUUUAGUGUAUGCACGAUAGGUGGAGCUAUCCCCCGUGCAUCCGGCGUCGUAAUAAAGCAAUGCCUGCUUUCUAAUACUAAACCAGAGUAUUGGAGAGUUUAUUAUCCCAUAUUUGGUGACAGGGGCAGAGUGUGAGGAGUCCUGCCCUGAGGAGGAAGGAGCAGCAGAGACAAGGGGUGAUGAAGUGACCACAGCCCCCAUUCCCCAUCCCCCUGUGGUGCUGGGGGGCAGUAGGUAGAAUUGGGGA